rnacentral:siRNA from 1 species
UCAGUUGCCGUCACGUCACUCGA